rnacentral:rRNA from 1 species
AUUGAACGCUGGCGGCAUGCCUUACACAUGCAAGUCGAACGGUAACGGGCCUUCGGGUGCCGACGAGUGGUGAACGGGUGAGUAAUACAUCGGAACGUGCCCGAUCGUGGGGGAUAACGAGGCGAAAGCUUUGCUAAUACCGCAUACGAUCUACGGAUGAAAGCCGGGGACCGCAAGGCCUUGCGCGGACGGAGCGGCCGAUGGCAGAUUAGGUAGUUGGUGGGAUAAAGGCUUACCAAGCCGACGAUCUGUAGCUGGUCUGAGAGGAUGAUCAGCCACACUGGGACUGAGACACGGCCCAGACUCCUACGGGAGGCAGCAGUGGGGAAUUUUGGACAAUGGGCGCAAGCCUGAUCCAGCCAUGCCGCGUGCAGGAUGAAGGCCUUCGGGUUGUAAACUGCUUUUGUACGGAACGAAAAGCCUUCUUUUAAUACAGGAGGGUCAUGACGGUACCGUAAGAAUAAGCACCGGCUAACUACGUG